rnacentral:rRNA from 1 species
UACGAAGGGGGCUAGCGUUGUUCGGAAUUACUGGGCGUAAAGCGCACGUAGGCGGAUAUUUAAGUCAGGGGUGAAAUCCCGGGGCUCAACCCCGGAACUGCCUUUGAUACUGGGUAUCUCGAGUCCGAGAGAGGUGAGUGGAAAUUCCGAGUGUAGAGGUGAAAUUCGUAGAUAUUCGGAGGAACACCAGUGGCGAAGGCGGCUCACUGGCUCGGUACUGACGCUGAGGUGCGAAAGCGUGGGGAGCAAACAGG